AUUUCCCCGGGUACCUCUCUUCCCCUCGGUGCCCGCCCCUCCCCGCCCCUCCAGACCCGCCCCCUCCCCGCCCUCCAGUCGAGCCGUGCCGGUGGUGGUCGUUCGGAAGCCGAACAGCAAACAGCUUGGCCGAGAGGCAGGGCCAUCCAGCGGCCGUGCCCUUUGACUUGACCUCUGUUCCUGCCAGCGAGCGGACGGAGUAGCCAAGAAGAAAGCUGGGAAAAGCUUAGUCGGCUGACCCGAGAGGAAAACCGGUGACUGUCACGAAUGAAAAUGCAGUGUAAUCGAAGACAGAGACAGUCACCACAACUCUGCGUCCGCGAGCCUGCUGCUGUGGAGAUAAUACUAUCUAUCGCACAGCCAUGCUUUUGUUCGCCCCUGAAGGGGCUUCCCGCUCCGGUGGCUCUCAACUCCUCCGAAGACAGCAUGCACGUCUAAAAGUUUUAGUUAAUUAUGCAUUCAUAAAAUUUAAAAUCUGCAACACUCCCUCGCUCCCCCACACGUUUCCUUUUAAAAAAUAAAAAAUUUUAAGAGCUUAAA